rfam:Trichobilharzia regenti genome assembly, scaffold: TRE_scaffold0118247
AUUCAGUUGACGAGUCCCAAACAGGACGAAAUGCACAUCCUGACUGGAU